rnacentral:rRNA from 1 species
UACAGAGGGGGCAAGCGUUGUUCGGAAUUACUGGGCGUAAAGGGCGUGUAGGCGGCCUUCUAAGUCGGACGUGAAAUCCCUCGGCUCAACCGGGGAACUGCGUCCGAUACUGGAGGGCUUGAAUCCGGGAGAGGGAUGCGGAAUUCCAGGUGUAGCGGUGAAAUGCGUAGAUAUCUGGAGGAACACCGGUGGCGAAGGCGGCAUCCUGGACCGGCAUUGACGCUGAAACGCGAAAGCUAGGGGAGCAAAC